UGGGGAAUAUUGCACAAUGGAGGGAACUCUGAUGCAGCGACGCCGCGUGAACGAAGAAGGCUUUCGAGUCGUAAAGUUCUUUUAUAUGGGAAGAUAAUGACGGUACCAUAAGAAAAAGCCCCGGCUAACUACGUGCCAGCAGCCGCGGUAAUACGUAGGGGGCUAGCGUUGUACGGAAGCACUGGGCGUAAAGGGUUCGCAGGCGGAAAUGCAAGUCAGGUGUAAAAGGAAGUAGCUUAACUACUGUAAGCAUUUGAAACUGCAUAUCUUGAGAAGAGUAGAGGUAAGUGGAAUUUUUAGUGUAGCGGUGAAAUGCGUAGAUAUUAAAAAGAAUACCGGUGGCGAAGGCGGCUUACUGGGCUCAUUCUGACGCUGAGGAACGAAAGCGUGGGUAGCAAACAGG
rnacentral:rRNA from 1 species